AAAUGUAAACAGGAGCAAAGAAAAAAACAGCCGAAAAUUAAUUAACUUGCAGUGGAUCUCUUCGUCUUCUUCGUCCCUAAUAACAUCCAUAACUGUAGAAAAAUCACUCUCUCUUCAUUGAUCUGAUUUUCCUUUAUCCCAAACUUUUUAUCUACUUCUCAUUCGUCUUCAACAUCCCUAACUUUUAUCUUCACCUUCUUCUCCUUCAUUUUAACAGAUUCAAUCUUUCUCUAUAAACCACCAAAAACACAGACCCAUGGCAACAUCCCACUAGACCCAUAAUUAUCACCAUCGAACAUCCUGAUUUACCCCCUCUCUUUGUAUACGGGUUGGGUUUUGCACUCUUUUCUUCAAUAAUUUAGGUAACAAUUUUUUUUUAUCGAUACUUUGAAUAACGGUUUUAGGCUAUUCAUUUGAGAAAAUAAGAGUUUAUGAAAUGUUUUUACCAUGAUCUAUAACCUAAUUAUGCAUGUUUAAUUAAAAUUUUAUCAAAACCCCCAAUUUAAUUUGUAGGGUUACGGUUCAUCAAUUGUUUGAAAAUAACUUUUCUGGGCAUAUCACUGUCUUUUUUCUUUCCUUAUUCAAUGCGAGUUUGUAUAAAAUAUUAAUUGAAUGAUUUUCAUUGACCUUUGAAACCAUUUCUAAUAAACUUGAAGUCUAGGUUCGUUCUUCUUCCAGAUUCGUGAUAUACUGGAGAAGAAUGAAAAUGCUGCCUUUGUUUCUUUUUGUGGGGAUAUUGACUUAACAGCUUUCAGUGAGAAUCCAAAUUUGAAAGACACAUGGGCUCAUCAGGUUCGUGAUAUGCUGGAGAAUGAGGAGAGGAAUGAAAAUGCCGAAUUCCGAGUGAAGGAGGUUGAGUACAUUCAAGCAGAGGUGAAGAUAAUAAAGUGUCUAGUGGAAAAUAUUGUGGUAGAUAUUUCAUUUAACCAACUUGGUGGACUGUUCACCCUUUGUUUCUUUGAAAAGGUUAGUGCUUUAUCCUAGAAAUUGUCUACUCCUUUUGUCCAAAUAUUAUGAUCUUUUUUCCGGAAACUUCUGCUUUCCCAAAUUAUUAGUCUUUUAUUAGAAAAUCACUAAUCCUGCCAUGCCCUAUUCAUUAAGCAACCUAAAUCAAAACCAUCUUCUGGACUUAGCAAAUUAUUUCUUGAGGCUUGUAGUGCAAUAUAUGUUGUUUUACCUGCUGGACAAGAUAAUCAAGGGCAACCCUUUUUGCCCAAACACUUCAAUGUUAUUGAUCCUAUGCGUAUAAACAACAACCUGGGACACAGUGUCAGUAAAGGUAUAUAAAUAGAACUCUGCUAUGCUGUUUGCCAUCAAGUUAAAUGUCAUUUGAAUACCUCUACUUUUUUACGUUCCAAAUUUUAUCAAGCAAGGAAUACAAGCUGGCAACUAUUGUAUUCAUGUUUCUUCUAGGAUUAACUGGUGGUUGUUUCCAGUAGAGUAUUGGAGGUUCUUUUUACAUUUCAGCAAGAGUCCCAUUUCAAGUAGAAAGACAUGAUUACUUCAUGCUGUUUUUAUUUUUAUGCUUAGCUUCUAUCCAUGCUUGCUUCUUCCAUGAUAUAUAUGUACAUGUAUCAAGAACAAAAGAAACAAUUUUGCAUUCCUUCUUUGAUAUAAUUGUGGAGUUUGGUUGAUUUUAUAUUUUCUCAACUCAAUAAUUAUUGAUGAUAAUGCAUAUAUUUUGUUUGGUUUUUAGCAUGCCUCGAUGAGGAUCCAUAUUAGAUUCUAGGAGUGACAAGUCCAUUUUAUCCAAAUCAUUUCAAAAGGAGAUAAAGAAAAAAGAAGAGGAGAUAAAAAAAAAAGAUGAUUUUAUUUUUGAAAUAAAACGGCAGAUAGUUUCCAUGAAAGAAUAUCUUAUGAACAAUCUUGGAUAUCAUCGUGGGACAUCAAAUAUUGACCUUAUGGCCCUAUCAAUGUCGCCGCCUAUGGCUCCCCAGAUAAUGACGCCUAUGGGUCCCACAUUUUCACCAAUUUAUCGACCUUCACCUCAACCACUAUAUCCUGAUUCAUCUUACAUCGACCCAUAAUAUCGUGGUUCGUCUCCACAACAAGCACCAUGAUUGUAUCUUUUUAUUGUAUUUUGACUUAUUUUCAUUAAUGCAAGUUUAACUAAAUUUUUAUACUAUGAA